GUGGAGCUGGGAAGAGACACAGUAGCACAUCAUCAUAUAGUAUUUCCACCUGUGCUAGCCAGCCUCUGAGAUAACACCCCCUGUUUGGGGCUAGCUGCCCUGCUAUUGAGCAGCCUGACGGAGAAGCCCAUGCAGCAAGGAACUGAGGCCUCCAGCCAACAGCCAGGUGAGUGAACAUUCUUGGAAGCGAAUCCUCCAGCCCCAGGCAAGCCUUGAGACGGCUGCAGCCCUGACUGACUUCUUGGCUGCAGCCUCAUGAGAAACCCUGAACCAGAACUACCCAGCCAAGCUGCUCUCAGAUUCCGGACUCAGAAACUUGUGGAAACCACCCUUUUCAAGCAAGAGUAAUGUGUCAUCCUAUUAGAUCCUCACUGGUAUCCUCUGCAAUGUGGCUGACACAGAGCUCAUGCCAGGAGAAGAGCAAGUGUCAGCACUGCUGACUGCUUGCUGCGCCUCUGUGUCUGCAUUAUUAAAAUUCAACUCAACUCACGGCUCUCUGCAGGAGUAUUUUAAGGCUACGUUUUCAUCUUUUGGAUUAAAACUAAACAACACAAUCUG
rnacentral:lncRNA from 1 species